UAAUGGCCUACCAAGGCGACGACGGGUAGCCGACCUGAGAGGGUGACCGGCCACACUGGGACUGAGACACGGCCCAGACUCCUACGGGAGGCAGCAGUGGGGAAUAUUGCACAAUGGGCGGAAGCCUGAUGCAGCGACGCCGCGUGAGGGAUGAAGGCCUUCGGGUUGUAAACCUCUUUCAGCAGGGACGAAGCGUGAGUGACGGUACCUGCAGAAGAAGCACCGGCUAACUACGUGCCAGCAGCCGCGGUAAUACGUAGGGCGCGAGCGUUGUCCGGAAUUACUGGGCGUAAAGAGUUCGUAGGCGAUUUGUCGCGUCGUUUGUGAAAACCCGGGGCUCAACUUCGGGCUUGCAGGCGAUACGGGCAGACUUGAGUGUUUCAGGGGAGACUGGAAUUCCUGGUGUAGCGGUGAAAUGCGCAGAUAUCAGGAGGAACACCGGUGGCGAAGGCGGGUCUCUGGGAAACAACUGACGCUGAGGAACGAAAGCGUGGGUAGCAAACAGGAUUAGAUACCCUGGUAGUCCACGCCGUAAACGGUGGGCGCUAGGUGUGGGUUCCUUCCACGGGAUCUGUGCCGUAGCUAACGCAUUAAGCG
rnacentral:rRNA from 1 species